UCACGAGAACCACACAAAUACGCGGCAAAGAGAGAGAAAGAGAGAGAGAGAGAGAGAGAGAGCGGUGAGGUCGUGAGGGAGAAGCUCUGGAUACAGUCUCUUCCCGUCGUCGGAGACGGAGUUUAUGCCUAUUGGCUCCUGAGGUUAGAUUAAGCUUCGUUUUUAGUGGAUUUUCUUCUUUUGAGAUAUGGAACAAGAUUACAUCUGCUCAGGCUGCUACCAGUAUCGAGUUUUUUCAUUGCAAGAAGCACUCGAUUGGCGGUUUCUUGUGCACUCAGAUUUCCUUAUUGGCUCUUUCGUGAACUGCACUUAGUGGUCAGACCUUCUGCGAUCUUUUCGGAAGGUGUCAUGCAAAUUUCUGAUUCAGGGCUGAUGUUUGCAAGUUAUCCUACCUUCACAUAGUCCUAGAGUGUCAUCUAAAUCUGUUCCCUGCAGUCAAAAACUAGUUAGUCCCUCUUCCAUAUCCUGUUGGUUGAAGAAGGAUGUAUCAGUUCUUUUUCAAGUUUUGACUUUUCAUAGCUGUGUCUUUUCCUCGAGUCUCUGAACCCCUUGAGUGAGAUGCUGCGAGCAUGAGUUUCGUCCCGUUACCCAGAACAUUACUUUUUGUUGGUGCAUCUUCCAGUUCUCAGUAUGUUCUGUCUUUUUCUCUUAGCGUCUUUCUUUUACCUUGAUGGUCAACCCAUUGAUGUUCAAACUUCAAAGUAAAUAAGGGUCAGUCUACCCAGCGGGAGAAUCAUUGAUUUUGCUGCCAUACAAACAACUGGAGGAUUAAAUUUAGACAUAUUUCAUCAAAUUCUACAGAUAAAUACUAAAGGGGAUACUUUGCUUUACCUAGAGGCAAUGGAGAGGUAGGUUUGAUUUCUC